rnacentral:lncRNA from 1 species
UGUCCCAUCCAUAUAGAAAGCAAUUGCUUAAAGAUCUCUACUAGCAAUACAUACAUUCCACAAAAUCAAAUGUAUUCAAACAACAUUUAUGAUAAUAUAUAGUACAAAAACUAUUUAUCGUUCACUACAAUAGAUCGAGUUUACUUUUGUCCUCUAUUCAUCAAAUUCAAUCAACGGUAUUUUCCUGCACAUUCAAAAGUAAAUUAUAAGUUAGAGAAUCAUGUAUUUCAUAUGCUCACUAUAUUGUUCAAUUCCCAGCCCUUUCCCAACCCCUUCACAGUUAAAUGAUCCCUAAAUAUGUACAAAAACUAUAAAAUCUUGGAGAAAACAAUAGGGCAUGUAUUCCAAGACUGUCACAGUAGGCAAAUAUGAAUGAUAAAAUAAAUCUGGGAGAAAACAGUAGGCAAACAGUUAAAUGAUCCCAAACAUGUACAAAGCAGAGACCCAAUAUGAAUGAUAAAAUCUGGAAGAAAACAAUAGGAAAACAUACAAAUGCAUAAAAAAACAUGUAAUAAGUUCAUCACAAACAUGGGAAUUUCUUCACUGCCGUAUUAUCAAAAGAAGGAAGGGUUUAUACAUUCUCUUGGGGAAAUGAAGCUAAACUUGGUCAUCAAACUAAGCAAACUGAUCUGGAACCCCGUCCAUUAUUAGGCGCAUUAGAGAAUAUUCCAAUGGUGCAAAUUGCAGCAGGAUAUUGCUCACUGUGUCACAUUUUAUCAGAGAAGGACAAUUGAAUGAAACGUUGGUAAGCCAACAUGCCCCACCACUACUAAUUCCCCUUAUUCUUAACACCAAAUAGCAAUUGCAAGGAGGAAAGAAUUGUUACUUUUGGAAGAGAACCUGCAGUUUGUUCUUGUUGUAGCAAACUUGGAACAUAUUCAAUUGAUCACGUCUUUGUGUCUGGGCACUUUGCCAAUUAUAUCUGGAAAAUUCUUUUCAGAUUCCUUGGGCAUUACUCACAGACAUAUUCCUCUAGAAGAACAGGUGAUAUGCA